rnacentral:lncRNA from 1 species
AUCCAUUAAGGUCAAUGGUAGCUCAAUCUUCGGUUCUCUGACUCCCAAGCUUCCCAUUCUCUUAGGAGGCUGCAUUUGUGGCGCUAAAAAAAGGGAUGGGCGUGGGAGAUUCCAGGACAUGUGCUCGCUGAAGAUACAACUGUUAGUCCAAGCUCCUGUAUCAGCAGUGCUUGUGCCUGAUAGGUGAUGAUCAUGAGGGGGACCAGGAGCCUCUAGACUUAAGAGACAAGUUGCCAGCAUUCUCCAGAUGGAGUGUUUCCCUCCCCAGCACCACCUGCUGGUCAGUUUGACAAGCAGAUGAAGGGAAGUUCUCAAAUACACAAUAAGCAGAUAACCCCAACAUCACCAGAAAUAGCAAGUUGUGAUGGCAGUUUGUCAAAUUGUCUUUAUUUUUUGUCAGCAUCAUCUGUUGCUUUCUGAGGGAAGUUUUUUGAGUUCUCCCACUGAGACUGUGGAUUUGCAUUUUUCUUUUGUAUGUCUGUCAGCUUUUGCCAUGUAUAGUUUGUAGUUGUGUUGUGUUGUGAGGCAGAUUCAUGACCUAUGUUGUGGGAGAAUUUCUGUAUUUAGCAGAUGUUCAACUUACGUUCUAUUUUGCCAAGUGUUGAUGGUAUUACUUUGCUUUUCAGUUUCACGUUCAUUUAGUAUAUCUUCUUCCUUUCCGUGAACCCUUGUGUGUUGUUUAUUUCAGAUAUGCUUCCUUAUGAACUGACGGUGACUCCCAAAUUCAUAUGUUGAAGACCCAACUCCCAACGGACUUGGAGAUAGUAGAUUCUAUCAACCAAGUUUCAUAAAGAGUUCUGAUUCCCAGAGGCAUACAGCACCAUUUUCAACAUAAAACAUAAAAACCCAUUCAAAAUGGAGGUGAUGGUAGAUGCCUGGACAGAUUACCAGAUCAUCAUUACUCAGCCUCAGAACCAGAUAGCAGAUUCUGUCAACCACAUUUCAUAAAGAGUUCUGAUUCUAAGAGG